rnacentral:rRNA from 1 species
UACGUAGGGGGCAAGCGUGGUCCGGAUUUAUUGGGCGUAAAGAGCGUGUAGGCGGCCAGACAGGUCCGUUGUGAAAACUCGAGGCUCAACCUCGAGCUGUCGGUGGAAACUGUCUGGCUAGAGUCCGGAAGAGGAGAGUGGAAUUCCUGGUGUAGCGGUGAAAUGCGCAGAUAUCAGGAAGAACACCUAUGGCGAAGGCAGCUCUCUGGGACGGUACUGACGCUGAGACGCGAAAGCGUGGGGAGCGAACAGG